GACCACCGAGAUUUGACUGCGAGCUUAGUGCGUUGUCCUAGGCGGUGUUGCGCCCUGUGGCCAGUAAGAACCUGUUUUCAGGCAGGUCGAGGGGCCCAGAGUUUUCAGUCUACAACCUGACGAAGGUGGAACUCAGGGAAAUGUCGAGAAACUUAGGUCUGGGUCUGCAUUUUCCCCCCACUCCGCCCCGUGCUCAGUCUUGCUCGGAAGAAGCUGAGGGCCGAGUCCGCAGGCGUCAGGCCGAGGGGAGGCUGUUGGGCGGGGGCGCCGCGCCCCGAGUGUCUUGUAAUGAAGGAAACAGGCGACCGGGCGUCGAUGGCCCUAGGCACAGGUCUGGACGCCCCCAAGGAUCCAACCGACCGGGCCGCGUGCACGGCUCGACAUGACCGUUUCUGGGCGCGACUGCGCGGGAGGGACACCUGUGAGCUCCAGACGGGGCCCACCGGGCGACCUGCCACUGAUGGAUGAUUCUGGACCAGAUGACAGGAUGAAGGAGAGAGAAUUCUCAGCAGGAUUAUAAAGAAAGGCCAGGCCGAAGGAGCUCGAGGGGACGCCUGGAGCCCUUUGCUAGCGCUGAAGCAGGUGCAUCUCAACUUCCCAUCCUUCAGCUGCUGAACUCAAACCACCACUCAGACCUACUAACGCUUCAGAGGCGAAAGGGCUGGAACCCGAGAGACACUGUAUUCAAGCCCCGCAGCAAGACCGCGCCCCGGAAGUCCAGUGCGCCACAAGACCCAGCGGCUUUUUCCAAUGGAAAAUCCAGUAUUUGCUGCCUGUGUGUUCCCUGCCCCCAUACGCCCCCAUUAUUAAAAAGGCAGAUGUCAGAAUCCUCUGUGUGACCCCUGCUGGAGACUAUGCUGGAGCCCCGGAAUCUUCUGCUUACCAAGCACCAAGCACCCCCAGCCAUUCCCAGCGGUAGUUUAGUUGUUUGCCAGCUGAACUCAGCCAAGGGAGGUAAAAGCUGUCACAGGAGUUUCUAAGAAACCUCGAACCCAGAUGGAAAAUGAGGGUUUUCUGGAGGAGAGAGCGUAACCGAGAGGAAAAGGGCUCCUUGGUGAGGAAGCAGAAGGCUGAGAAACACUACUGCAUGCACAGUGGUAGAAUGUAGAAAAUCUACGGACUGAUUUAGCAAAUAUGAUUUACGGACAGUGAUUACGGUGUUUCCAGCCUUUUUGUGUAUUUAUAGUAAGAUGUGAGAUGACAGAUUUCAGUUAAAAGAACUGUAUGUGCUAAAUUAGCCAGAAUUUUCUGGGUUUGAAAGGAAAAGAAAAAAGAGAGGGGAGUGGGAGAGAGAGGGGGGAGUGGGAGAGAGAGAGAGGGGAGUGGAAGAGAGAGAGAGAGAGAGAGAGAGAGAGAGAGAGAGAGAGAGAGAGAGAGAAGAAAGAGAGAGAGAUGCAAAAUAGUGUUAAAAUUAAGAAGUGAUUCCAGGCAAUGGUUAAACCCAGGACAUUGCCAGAAAAGUGUGGGAGUUAAACCAGAAAAUAAUGCCCUAAAGAUUUUUUUUUUUCCUCUUCUGCACUGUGCUCAGGAAACCCUGGGGCCACUCCUAGCUGCUCAGUGCUGGGGUGAUUAGGGGCCAUGUGGCUGGGCCUCCACACACCAGGCCUGGGCAGGUGAGUCCAGGCAGAAGGCCCCACAGACCCCCAGAACUUGGCUGUUCUCGGGCUCCAGGGAACUUGACGUUGAUGACCAGUUCCCAGCUUGUGUCUCCUCACCCUGCGGGCAGCCAGCUGUGCCAGGCCCAGCUCCUCACUUCCGGGACGUGUCCACUGUUGAGAGCUCAGAUAAGCGGGUUAGUGUUCUCUCGGACUCCAUUUCUCUGAGCAUAAUGUCCUCACGGCCCAUCCAUCUCGUUGUGUAUUGCGGAAUUUCCUUCCAUUUUUGCUUCAUUUGAUGUCCGCACAACAUUUUAUUUUACUACCCUUGGAUGCACAUGUGAGGUGUUUGCGGAGACGGGCUCUCGUUAGCCAUUUACACGGGGUUCAGGUCUGUCGGAUUAACACCCCGCAGUGGGACUAAAGCAUAUCGUAGCUCUGAUUUUUUAAGAAAUGGGGGCUGGAACGAUAGCACAGCGGGUAGGGCAUUUGCCUUGCACGAGGCCAACCCGGGUUCGAUUCCCAGCAUCCCAUAUGGUCCCCUGAGCACCGCCAGGAGUAAUUCCUGAGUGCAGAGCCAGGAGUAACCCCUGUGCAUCGCUGGGUGUGACCCAAAAAGCAAAAAAAAAAAAAAAAAAAGUGAGGCUCCAUACAUUUUUCUCAGUGACUGCUCUAGCUUGUCUUCCUGUUAACAGGAUGCAAGGGGUUUCACUUCUCUGCAUCCUCCGCAGUACAUGGCCUUUAUUAUUUUGCUAACAGUCUGCCGGGAACCAAUGCCUGGAAACGGCCAGAAACCCAUGCCUGGGAACUGCCAGAAACUUAUGCCUGGGCACCAAUAUGUCAGUACAAACUGACCUGUAACUAGGAACAACCGCUUCUCGGGAAAGGUUGCAGAACAAUGCCCAGGGAAACUGCCACCAGGGCCCACAUCCAGUUUCAUUUAACAUUUGCAUUCUUUGCUAUUCCCCCAUUCUGCCCACUUCCUCAUAUAAUCAAUUAUAAAAGAUUAGCUUAAGAGAAAUAAAGUUGGAGCUUUCUUCCAUUCUUGUGUCUGUCUGUGUCUGUCUCUUUCUCCUUGCGUCUGUCUCCUUUUCACUCUCGCACCCUCUCCCGGUUACCCACGUUGAACAAGUCCCGCGGGACGGGACAACAGUCUAGUAAGUGGGAUGGUGGUUUUGAUGUUCAUUCAUACACUUAUUGGCCACUUUUGUCGUCUUUGAAGUAAUUUCUAUACCUAUAGUACAUUUAAAAAGCUAUCCUCUUUUUUGUUAAUAGAGCUGAAAUGUUACUCAUUUCUAAGGAAUUAGCUCCUUACCACAUUAUGGUAAGGAGCUAAUAUGGUAAGAUUUAUCCCUAUAGUUUGUUCUUCUUGGUC